UUCAACUUCUGGUAUUCAGAGAGAGAUCAUUGCCUGAAUGCAUCGUAGUAGGUAGUAGAGGUCAAGCUUUUGUAGAACACACCAUGCACUCGAAGAAAUUGGAAGCGUAGAAAAUUAAUUGUUCAUGAAAACAUGCGAACAUUCAUCUUUUUAUGCACAUCGAGGAUCAAUGCUUAAUCAGGUACGAUACUUCCUGUCGACAAGUGUUUUGCAGUGUCUUCAAUCUCGAAUCGAUUAUGCUUUAAUAAAAUAUAUAAAGUUGUAUAGUAGGAUAAUUUCGAUUAAUAUUUUUUCAAAUAAAAUGGUAUAUGGUAUAUUUAAUAAUAUUUGAUCGUUUAUAACUAGACUAAAUUGCUUAUAUAUGUAGCUAACAAUUGUAAUUCGGAAGCAAACUGUUCAUAACCAAACUUCAACAUAACGUAUAAUAAUUGUAACGCGAAUUAUAAUAUAAAUUGUUCAUAUUUUCAUAUAACAAAGUUGUUCGUACUUAUAUACAAUUACUAGUAUAAACUACUUAUAUGUGUACUUGUAUAUUGUACACUUGUACCUAUAUACAAUUACUUCUAGAUAUAAACUUGCAUAUUUAUAUACAAUACGUAUAAGUAAAUUACUAUAAGUUGAGUAUUGUAUAUAUAUACUUAUAACUGAUACAUACUUGCAUAAGUAAUAAUUGUAUUUCAAAACCAACUGGUCCAUAAGAAAUUUUCAUGUAUUACCAAGUUGUUCGUAACAGAAUGUGUAAGUAAUAAUUAUAUUUCGAAAUUAAAUCGUUUAUAAGAAAAUGUUCAAGGAUUACCAAAUUAUUUACAACAAAAUUGAACGACAGUUCUGAUUUUUCCAUCAUAUUCUUGAAGUUAAUAGUCUUUCCAGAAACCAUUACUCUCGAUCCUCGAAACACAACGAUACAGAAGCUCAAUCGAGGGAGUCAUUUAAAAUAUAACGCGUCACUGAUCCUUUCGAUUUUCGAUACUCGUGCAUGCAUACGUAACCUAAAUCACUCGAUGACAUAACCUUAAGCUGCUUCUUCUGCUUUAUACUGUUCUUUAUAUAAGGGGAAGAGAUAUUUUAUGCUUAAAAAUUGACUACCAAUAUACGGGAUACGUUGCGAUAUUCGGAACUUUUUGAGAUUGCUAUAAUAAAAUAUAAAGCUCUUUAUUGACCUGCGUGAGGUAUCGAACUUAACGUGAAUAUGUAUCUAUCCUGAUGUGUUUAUUUCUUAUAUCGAAGAUGAUCUUCGGUGAAAGAGAAUAUAUAUAGUACAGCAGAUUUUUAGUAUAAAUAAUAAAGAUAUACGAAAUUAUUAGCACAGACCAAAUUUUUCGGAAAAUAAAGGUGAAAUUUUAGGUGUUGUACGUCAGAAUCGUUUUUCAAAUCACGAAACAUGACUCGAUUACCAUUGUUACACGUGAACCAGUCGCGUUGCUAGCGAUUUACGAUCGAGAAGUACAUAAUCGUGAUACAAACAACGGAACAGCCGCGGUUGAUGAUAUUUAUGUACGUACAUAUGUAUAUAUCUCUAUAAACAUGAUUAAAAGUAUGGAAUUUUAAUGGAAAGUUGUAUCCACCAAAUAUUAUAGUCACUAUAUUGUUUCUGGCAGAUAACUAGGUUAUAUUAGUAUAGAUGCAAGUGGUAAGGAAAUCUAAGAAAUAUUUUGGACUAAGAAUUAUGUAUUUUUAAAUAAAUAAUAAAUGAAGUUCGAUAAAUGUACACGCUUAGUAGCCAAUGUAUACACAUAGAAUUUAGACUUUUAUUAGCUGAAGUUUACUGAUGUAUUGUAGCAGAUAUGUGUAUUGUUUAGUAAAUGAAUACUAAUUCACGAACUAACGAUAGGUUAUGUAAAUAUACAUACUAGAAAUAGUAAACAUUUUUACAUUUAGCCAACAUCAAUCAAUAAAAGUAUAAAUUCAUAGUUCAAAUAAAAUCGUGAGAAUCGUACAGGAAGUUGCCAGAUUAGUCAAGUACGAAACUAAUUAAUCACAAAAGUAUACAUUUUUAUACUCUGUCAACAUUUUUAUUCUUUGACUAAAUAUAAAUAUCACUAAAUCUUACGUAAAUGCAUAUAUUAAUUGUAAUCGAAAUACAGAAUUAAGAAAAUAUUAAAUAUGUUACUAGGUAUUACUAGGUUAAUCAGAUAAAGAACCAUUUCGAUUUAAAAAUUGAACCGGUACGAGAACAGAAGCAUUUUCACGACAUUUAUUUCAGUAUAUUUCUUUGUAUUUUCAUACAAAUGGCAAAACCGAAUUGUCCCCGAACCACAAUUUAUUUGAAUUAACAAGGUUUCUACCAUUUUAUCCGGUUCUCCUGUUUUCACGUAUUUUUAUAUUUUUCUACAUUUCCGUUUCAUUAGCAGCCGUGGAAUUAAAAGGAGAACAAUUGCAAUAUUUCUACGUUUAUUUCAUCUUUUUGUUUUUCGAGGAUUACGAUAGAAAUUCAACACUUUAUAACCUCGUUAGUUUGCAUUAUGCGUCGCCAGAGUUGCCUGAUAAGCCACCGAAACGCAGAAAAGAUCACAGAACACAUCCGCAUUGGAAUCCUCAUUGGGACAAAGAAAAUGAAAAGCUGAAUGAAUUAAAAUGAAGUUAAUAACGACGAAAAUUAAUCACUAGACCGUGGAUGGUUAUAGAAAUCCAUAUUUUUAUAGUGGUUAUAAUUAAUGAAGAGUUGGAUGUCUUUCCGGAAGUGAGUAACAUACAAGUUUCGUUUCGUUUGGUUACGAAAUGUGCCACGAUAUAAAGAGAAAACACUCGAUAUUUGAAGGUGAUUCGUCAUGAAGUUUCAUUAAAUCCGAGAGAUUUAACAACGACAUUCUUCUUCGUUAAUCAGAUUACCGGUCUCUAGUUUGCUUCACGGUGCGGAACGAAGUCAAAUGGAAUUGUCUUUGAAGAUCAAUGUGUAACGCCUCGGUUCUAUGGUCUUUGGAGACACCUCGACGAAAGAAUAUGGGCGGAGAGCAUUGAUAUGAAAGAUGAACGAUCGCCGUUAUUUUGGAGUGGAAAGAUUCACCUUCAGUUUUAAUUAAACUGCUGGAAAACCGUAUCGGAAGCUCCGACGAAAGCGGAGAGAAAGGGUUACUGAGACCUUACAUGUGGUGUUUACUUUGUACUACUCGUGCAACUAAUUGCCAUGACAAAGGGAGGGAAAUGUAACCCAUCGUCGACCCGAGUAAUGAUCGAUCAAAACUCCAUUAUUGACAUUCUUUUGAGUAACGCGUGCAAGAACGUGCAAAUUAAAAUCAUUUGAAUAUGAUUAUCUUAUUUUCUGAAUGGAUGAGAGAAAUAUAAUAUGUACACAAGUACAUAGAAACAAAUUGAUUGCUUAGAUACUGCAAAAAUGUUAGGGGAAAUUAAUUGUUAUUUUAUAAUGGUUAUAUUUAUAUACGGAUAAAACUUGUCUGCUGUAUACUCUAUUUCUGGAAUACAACGGAAAUAGAAACAGUAUGUUUAGAUAUUUUUACUCCUUUCAGACAUCAAUUAUUUCAAAGUUUCUAUAUUUCUCAUCAAAUUUAUGCGCACAUAUUAAAUGUUAAUUGGUAUUAUAUUAUAAAUUUUCAUGAAAUAUAUUUUAUAAAGAUUGCAGGAGGAA